AUCCAGAUGACGAGUUCCAAAUAGGACGAAAUGCACACUCUGGAU
rnacentral:hammerhead_ribozyme from 1 species